GACGAACGCUGGCGGCGUGCUUAACACAUGCAAGUCGAACGCUGAAGCUUGGUGCUUGCACUGGGUGGAUGAGUGGCGAACGGGUGAGUAAUACGUGAGUAAUCUGCCCUUGACUCUGGGAUAAGCCUGGGAAACUGGGUCUAAUACUGGAUACGACAUGUCACCGCAUGGUGGUGUGUGGAAAGGGUUUUACUGGUUUUGGAUGGGCUCACGGCCUAUCAGCUUGUUGGUGGGGUAAUGGCUCACCAAGGCGACGACGGGUAGCCGGCCUGAGAGGGUGACCGGCCACACUGGGACUGAGACACGGCCCAGACUCCUACGGGAGGCAGCAGUGGGGAAUAUUGCACAAUGGGCGGAAGCCUGAUGCAGCGACGCCGCGUGAGGGAUGACGGCCUUCGGGUUGUAAACCUCUUUCAGCACGGAAGAAGCGAAAGUGACGGUACGUGCAGAAGAAGCGCCGGCUAACUACGUG
rnacentral:rRNA from 1 species